UCUCUUUCUCUCCUCUCCUCUUCUCUUUCCUAUUUUUGAUUUGCUCUCUCUUUUCUCUUCAAACCCUAAGUCUUGCCGCCGCCGCUGUCCCCUUUCUUCACAUUAUCUACGACCACCACCUCCAAUAAAAAAAUCUAAGCCAUUUUCAUACUCCUCAUCCCACGGUCUUUCUAAUGAACCGAUUGAAAUUUUAUUUCGAACAACCUCGAUGUCGACCGUGUUACUCCAUCUCCGACGGGUUCGUUAAGAACGGACAUCAUUUCUCCUUCUCCAACCUGUUUAUAUUCCUAUUAACAUGAGAAAGUUAGGCAAAUAAAGAGGAAAUUGAAGAACUCAAGCUUCUUGCUCAAUGGAAGAGAAACAAAGACAGUUACAGUUCCUUGAAACGUGGAGGUUUGUGCGUAGUGGCUGAUUCCGUCGAAUUUGGAGAGGUGAUCUGACUUCUAACAUCGGAUUUGCAAUGGCAAUUUAAUGAAUUGGUAUGCCGCCCUUGAAUCCUGAUUUUGUAAAGCAAAAAAAGAUGCAAUAUCUGUAAGCUGAAACUCAAGGACUACAAGCACACAAAGAAGUUGUGCACAAAGGACUACUAAUGAUGGAUGAGGCAGCAUUAUUGGUAGAAGCGGCAGAUAUGGGUGAUGCUGAUGCACAAUAUGCAUUGGGUUGUCAUUUAAGAGUAGAGAAUGAUGAUGUCCAGAAGGUAAUCAACAUCAUUAUGACCCAAUGAUGUAGUGAGAUAAGAUAUGAAUCUUUCAGAAGGUAAUCUGCCCUGUUCAAACAUGUCAAUCCAAAACCAACUGAAGACUUCUUUGAUAUAGAUGUUACAUAAUUUGAAGUCUCCAAUUUAUGUGAUAAUAUCUCGCUUAAGUUGUUAAUUAACUUGCAUAAAUACAUCAGAAAUACAUCACCAACUUGAGUAUUUCUUGUGUUGCUAUUAAAGUAUUUUCCUUACAUUAGAAUGUCAGUAACUUAGUAUUAGUGUUGUCAAUUUCUAAUUUUGAUUUUUGGGUCCUAUUAAAGUACUUCGGCAUAAAUCAUUUCGGAGCUGAAAU